rnacentral:rRNA from 1 species
GGCUCAGGAUGAACGCUGGCGGUAUGCUUAACACAUGCAAGUCGAACGGAAUGCUUAGGCAUUUAGUGGCGGACGGGUGAGUAACGCGUGGGAAUUUGGCUUCAGGUCGGGGACAACAGUUGGAAACGACUGCUAAUACCGGAUAUGCCGGAAGGUGAAAGGCUUGCUGCCUGAAGAUAAGCUCGCGUCUGAUUAGCUAGUUGGUAGUGUAAGGGACUACCAAGGCGACGAUCAGUAGCUGGUCUGAGAGGAUGAUCAGCCACACUGGGACUGAGACACGGCCCAGACUCCUACGGGAGGCAGCAGUGGGGAAUUUUCCGCAAUGGGCGAAAGCCUGACGGAGCAAUACCGCGUGAGGGAGGAAGGCUCUUGGGUCGUAAACCUCUUUUCUCAAGGAAGAAAAAAAUGACGGUACUUGAGGAAUAAGCAUCGGCUAACUCCGUGCCAGCAGCCGCGGUAAUACGGAGGAUGCAAGCGUUAUCCGGAAUGAUUGGGCGUAAAGGGUCCGCAGGUGGUACUGUAAGUCUGCUGUUAAAGAGUCUGGCUCAACCAGAUAAAAGCAGUGGAAACUACAGAACUAGAGUGCGUUCGGGGCAGAAGGAAUUCCUGGUGUAGCGGUGAAAUGCGUAGAUAUCAGGAAGAACACCGGUGGCGAAAGCGUUCUGCUAGGCCGCAACUGACACUGAGGGACGAAAGCUAGGGGAGCGAAUGGGAUUAGAUACCCCAGUAGUCCUAGCCGUAAACGAUGGAUACUAGGCGUGGCUUGUAUCGACCCGAGCCGUGCCGGAGCUAACGCGUUAAGUAUCCCGCCUGGGGAGUACGCACGCAAGUGUGAAAACUU